GACGAACGCUGGCGGCGUGCUUAACACAUGCAAGUCGAACAGAAAGGCCCUGCUUUUGUGGGGUGCUCGAGUGGCGAACGGGUGAGUAACACGUGAGUAACCUGCCCUUGACUUUGGGAUAACUUCAGGAAACUGGGGCUAAUGCCGGAUAGGAGCUCCUGCUGCAUGGUGGGGGUUGGAAAGUUUCGGCGGUUGGGGAUGGACUCGCGGCUUAUCAGCUUGUUGGUGGGGUAGUGGCUUACCAAGGCUUUGACGGGUAGCCGGCCUGAGAGGGUGACCGGCCACAUUGGGACUGAGAUACGGCCCAGACUCCUACGGGAGGCAGCAGUGGGGAAUAUUGCACAAUGGGCGGAAGCCUGAUGCAGCAACGCCGCGUGCGGGAUGACGGCCUUCGGGUUGUAAACCGCUUUCGCCUGUGACGAAGCGUGAGUGACGGUAAUGGGUAAAGAAGCACCGGCUAACUACGUG
rnacentral:rRNA from 1 species